GCCGGCGUGGCGGAACAGGCAGACGCCCGGGACUUAAAAUCCCGUGGUCAGAAAUGACCGUGCCGGUUCGAUCCCGGCCGCCGGCA
rnacentral:tRNA from 2 species